rnacentral:rRNA from 1 species
ACCGUAGGGGGCAAGCGUUGUACGGAUUUACUGGGUGUAAAGGGCGCGCAGGUGGGCUUGAUAGUUAGAGGUGAAAUCCUGUGGCUUAACUGCAGAACUGCCUUUAAUACUUCAAGUCUUGAGUGCGGAAGAGAGAGACGGAAUUCCAGGAGUAGUAGUGAAAUACGUAGAUAUCUGGGAGAACACCAGUUGCGAAGGCGGUCUCUUGGUCCGUAACUGACACUUAGGCGCGAAAGCGUGGUGAGCAAACAGG